UUGCGGCGUGCUUAACACAUGCAAGUCGAACGGAAAGGCCCUGCUUUUGUGGGGUGCUCGAGUGGCGAACGGGUGAGUAACACGUGAGUAACCUGCCCUUGACUUUGGGAUAACUUCAGGAAACUGGGGCUAAUACCGGAUAGGAGCUCCUGCUGCAUGGUGGGGGUUGGAAAGUUUCGGCGGUUGGGGAUGGACUCGCGGCUUAUCAGCUUGUUGGUGGGGUAGUGGCUUACCAAGGCUUUGACGGGUAGCCGGCCUGAGAGGGUGACCGGCCACAUUGGGACUGAGAUACGGCCCAGACUCCUACGGGAGGCAGCAGUGGGGAAUAUUGCACAAUGGGCGGAAGCCUGAUGCAGCAACGCCGCGUGCGGGAUGACGGCCUUCGGGUUGUAAACCGCUUUCGCCUGUGACGAAGCGUGAGUGACGGUAAUGGGUAAAGAAGCACCGGCUAACUACGUGCCAGCAGCCGCGGUGAUACGUAGGGUGCGAGCGUUGUCCGGAUUUAUUGGGCGUAAAGGGCUCGUAGGUGGUUGAUCGCGUCGGAAGUGUAAUCUUGGGGCUUAACCCUGAGCGUGCUUUCGAUACGGGUUGACUUGAGGAAGGUAGGGGAGAAUGGAAUUCCUGGUGGAGCGGUGGAAUGCGCAGAUAUCAGGAGGAACACCAGUGGCGAAGGCGGUUCUCUGGGCCUUUCCUGACGCUGAGGAGCGAAAGCGUGGGGAGCGAACAGGCUUAGAUACCCUGGUAGUCCACGCUGUAAACGGUGGGUACUAGGUGUGGGGUCCAUUCCACGGGUUCCGUGCCGUAGCUAACGCUUUAAGUACCCCGCCUGGGGAGUACGGCCGCAAGGCUAAAACUCAAAGGAAUUGGCGGGGCCCCGCACAAGCGGCGGAGCAUGCGGAUUAAUUCGAUGCAACGCGUAGAACCUUACCUGGGUUUGACAUGGAUCGGGAGUGCUCAGAGAUGGGUGUGCCUCUUUUGGGGUCGGUUCACAGGUGGUGCAUGGCUGUCGUCAGCUCGUGUCGUGAGAUGUUGGGUUAAGUCCCGCAACGAGCGCAACCCUUGUUCACUGUUGCCAGCACGUUAUGGUGGGGACUCAGUGGAGACCGCCGGGGUCAACUCGGAGGAAGGUGGGGAUGACGUCAAGUCAUCAUGCCCCUUAUGUCCAGGGCUUCACGCAUGCUACAAUGGCUGGUACAGAGAGUGGCGAGCCUGUGAGGGUGAGCGAAUCUCGGAAAGCCGGUCUCAGUUCGGAUUGGGGUCUGCAACUCGACCUCAUGAAGUCGGAGUCGCUAGUAAUCGCAGAUCAGCAACGCUGCGGUGAAUACGUUCCCGGGGCUUGUACACACCGCCCGUCAAGUCAUGAAAGUUGGUAACACCCGAAGCCGGUGGCCUAACCGUUGUGGGGGAGCCGUCGAAGGUGGGACUGGUGAUUAGGACUAA
rnacentral:rRNA from 1 species